CGGUUACAGAGAGAAGCGAUACCGCGAGGAGGAGCAAAUCUGAAAAAAGCGUCCCUAGUUCGGAUUGUAGGCUGAAACUCGCCUACAUGAAGCUGGAAUUGCUAGUAAUCACAGGUCAGCAUACUGUGGUGAAUACGUUCCCGGGCCUUGUACACACCGCCCGUCACACCAUGAGAGUCGGGAACACCCGAAGUCCGUAGCCUGACCGCAAGGGGGGCGCGGCCGAAGGUGGGUUCGAUAAUUGGGGUGAAGUCGUAACAAGGUAUC
rnacentral:rRNA from 1 species